CUGGAAUUCGCCCUUACUCCUACGGGAGGCAGCAGCUAAGAAUAUUCCGCAAUGGACGAAAGUCUGACGGAGCGACGCCGCGUGGAUGAAGAAGGCCGAAAGGUUGUAAAGUUCUUUUGCUGGGGAAGAAUAAGUGUGGGAGGGAAUGCCCGCACGAUGACAUGAACCGGUGAAUAAGCCCCGGCCAACUACGUGCCAGCAGCCGCGGUAACACGUAGGGGGCGAGCGUUGUUCGGAAUUACUGGGCGUAAAGGGCAUGUAGGCGGUCUGGUAAGCCUGGCGUGAAAGUCUGCAGCUUAACUGCAGGGGUGCGCUGGGAACUGCUGGGCUUGAGUGACGGAGAGGGAGCUGGAAUUCCUGGUGUAGGGGUGAAAUCUGUAGAUAUCAGGAAGAACACCGAUGGCGAAGGCAAGCUCCUGGCCGAUGACUGACGCUGAGGUGCGAAAGUGUGGGGAUCAAACAGGAUUAGAUACCCUGGUAGUCCACACGGUAAACGAUGUGCACUAGGUGCUGGGGCGGUAGCCUCAGUGCCGGAGCGAACGUGGUAAGUGCACCGCCUGGGGAGU
rnacentral:rRNA from 1 species